rnacentral:tRNA from 1 species
AAGGCUUUAAGUUAAAUUUAAACUAAUAUCCUUCAAAGCUAUAAAUAAAGAAAAUUCUUUAAGCCUUA